GUGCUUGCUUCGGCAGCACAUGUACUAAAAUCGGAACAAUACAGAGAAGAUUAGCAUGGCUCCCGCGCAAGGAUGGCACGCAAAUCCGUGAAGCUUAAAAAAAAAAA
ensembl:snRNA U6 U6 spliceosomal RNA